ACGAACGCUGGCGGCGUGCUUAACACAUGCAAGUCGAACGGAAAGGCCCUGCUUUUGUGGGGUGCUCGAGUGGCGAACGGGUGAGUAACACGUGAGUAACCUGCCCUUGACUUUGGGAUAACUUCAGGAAACUGGGGCUAAUACCGGAUAGGAGCUCCUGCUGCAUGGUGGGGGUUGGAAAGUUUCGGCGGUUGGGGAUGGACUCGCGGCUUAUCAGCUUGUUGGUGGGGUAGUGGCUUACCAAGGCUUUGACGGGUAGCCGGCCUGAGAGGGUGACCGGGCAGGUGGGAGCGGGGAGACGGCGAAGGCUAUGGAGGGAGGAGGAGGUGGGGAAUAGAAGAAAGUGGGGGAAGGCAGGCAGCAGCAGCGCGGCGUGGGGGAGGGCGCUUGGCGGGUUGAACACCGCGGGCGCUGGCGAAGAGGGGGGAGGGAGGGAAAGGGGGAAAGAAGCACUGGCAAACCGCGCGACAGCCGCCGGGGAAAGAGCCCGAAGAGAAAACCUCUGACC
rnacentral:rRNA from 1 species